AUACUUACCUGGUAGGGGAGACACAAAGGUGGUUUUCCCAGGGCGAGGCUUCUUGAUUGCACUCCGGAGGUGCUGACCCCUGCAAGUACCCCAAAUGUGGGAAACUCGACUGCAUAAUUUGUGGUAGUGGGGACUGUGUUCGCCCUCUCCCUG
rnacentral:snRNA from 1 species